ACAGAAAGUAAAGAAAGUUAAACAAAUGGACAUUAAUCCAUUUGUGACUUCAGAGAAUUCUCUUUUAGCUGAUAAAAGUUUCAUGAGUGGACAAAGUGAACCAUCUCAUGCUAAUGGUACCAGGCUAGAAUGGACCGACAAAAUGAAUGGCACGUUGCCCUCUCAUGUAGGACGUGGAAGAGUGUUAAUAUUCACACGUUCUUUAUUACAUUUACUUCCCCAAAUUAUGACAAAAUGAAUGGCACAUUUCCCUCAUAUGUAGGACAUGGAAGAGUGUUAAUAUUCACGCAUUCUUUAAUACAUUUACUUCCCCAAAUUAUAUGCAUUUGACAUGCUGUUAUAGUUUGUGAUUCCAG
rnacentral:lncRNA from 1 species